UACGGAGGGUGCAAGCGUUAUCCGGAAUCACUGGGUUUAAAGGGUGCGUAGGCGGCACGAUAAGUCAGAGGUGAAAGCUGGCAGCUUAACUGUCAAAUUGCCUUUGAUACUGUUGUGCUUGAAUCAGGUUAAGGUAGGCAGAAUGUGGCAUGUAGCGGUGAAAUGCAUAGAUAUGCCAUAGAAUACCAAUUGCGAAGGCAGUUUGCUGGGCCUGAAUUGACGCUGAGGCACGAAAGCGUGGGGAUCAAACAGG
rnacentral:rRNA from 1 species